rnacentral:lncRNA from 1 species
ACGCCCCAGAGGCCGGACCUGGGCAACCCCAGCCUGGAGGUGCCGGGGCCGGAGCUCCCAGAGGGCUGGGUGCGAGGCCUAGGCGGGGUCAGGUUCGGGUUCCUAGGCCAUAGCGGAGCUGCAGCCCAGGCGGCCGGAGCGGAACCCAGCCCCGCUCCGAGUGCCACGUCUCCAGGAACCCCCUCCUUACUCUUGGACAACACUCCGCCCCCGCCCGGGCCUCCGUCCCCCAAACCGCCCUCAUUUGUGCAGCGCCAGAUCCUUCGGACACAUCCCUAGGUGUCUCCAUCCUCAUUCGGUCCAUCCAACUCCCAGACCUCACGUCAACCGGCUGCACCCCACUUUCCAGCCUGCGCCCCAGAUCUGCAGCCUUCGCCCCUAGAUACACCCGCCUGGUGAUGAGGCGCUCCUCGCGUUCCUUCCGGGCUCCAGGUGUCCGUGAGCCUCCCUUCCGCCCUGGCCUCCGGUCUCUGCCUUGCUCGUGCUUCUACCACCACCCUUCCCCUCCCAACCCGGUGGAUCCUCUCGUCUCCCCCAGUCUCCAGUGCACCGGCUUUCCCUCGUCCUCUGCGCAGUCCAUCUCAGCUCAUCUCUCCAAUUCAAUGCCAUCAUCUCUCCUCACCAUCUCUCGGUGCCCUGGAAUGUUUGCUGUCAGAUGUCCCCUGUGAAACCCACAAACGCUUGCGAUUUGGCCUCCUUGUUUUAUUUUGUGUAGUCCUACAACGUCUUGUUACUACCCCCUAUUACAACACUUAUAACUCAGUAUUUGUCUUUUUUCCGCGGUGUCCCUGCACUCUCCCCAUACAUAUUCCUCUCCUGCCAGAUUGUAAGCCUCUAGAGGGAAGAAGUAAUGUCUCUCUCCUUGGCACCAGGCACGUGGCACACGCUCCACAAAUAUUUGUUGAAAGGGAGGGUAAAUGGCCUUGAGUUUCUGUGGCUACCAUUGGCUGAGGAUGGAGCUUUGGGCUGGACAAAGAAGAAUCUGGUUGACCACAUGAAGCAGGAAGGAGGCUCAGAACGGUGUUGAGGGAGCCUCCACAAUGGGUGGGCACCACAGGUGAGAUAAACCCAUCCUCCCCCAUUCCCUGCCCUGCUUAAUUCCCGGGAACCAGCAACCCCUCCUAUGCUAUCGUCUACUGCUGAGCUGGUCCCUUAUGGUGGACUUCUGUGCUCACUGUUCUGCUUUAGCCCCAGCUGUCGGGGCUGCCCUUGGGGAACAGCUUACACCUUGACCAGGCGCUCAUUUCUGGGUUUCUGUUCUUGGGAAGCUGGGUCUGGGUCCUGGGAGCCACCUGGUAACUAAUAAAUACCUCUUCCUCCUCCCAUCUGCUCUUCCUCUCCUGUCCUGGAAUCCCUCUCUGAUGACUCAGCCCAACUGAGAUCCAGGGUAACUGCACCCUCAGUCCUGGGCUUUGGUUUACCUGGGUGUGGGGCUCAAAGGGCUAGACCCUUGUGGGGGUCAGGCGCUGACAAGUGGAACAUUCCCACGGUGCU